GCGCCCGUAGCUCAGUUGGAUAGAGCACUGGAUUGCGGAUCCAGCGGUCAGGUGUUCGAGUCACCUCGGGCGCGCCA
rnacentral:tRNA from 1 species